rnacentral:rRNA from 1 species
GACGAACGCUGGCGGCGUGCUUAACACAUGCAAGUCGAGCGGUAAGGCCUCUUCGGGGGUACACGAGCGGCGAACGGGUGAGUAACACGUGGGUGACCUGCCCUCAGCUCUGGGAUAAGCCUGGGAAACUGGGUCUAAUACCGGAUAUGACCUUUCCUCGCAUGGGGCUUGGUGGAAAGUUUUUUCGGCUGGGGAUGGGCCCGCGGCCUAUCAGCUUGUUGGUGGGGUGAUGGCCUACCAAGGCGACGACGGGUAGCCGGCCUGAGAGGGCGACCGGCCACACUGGGACUGAGACACGGCCCAGACUCCUACGGGAGGCAGCAGUGGGGAAGAUUGCGCAAUGGGCGGAAGCCUGACGCAGCGACGCCGCGUGGGGGAUGACGGCCUUCGGGUUGGAAACCUCUUUCGACCCCGACGAAUUUGGACGGUAGGGGUAGAAGAAGCACCGGCCAACUACGUG